rnacentral:rRNA from 1 species
AGAGUUUGAUCCUGGCUCAGAACGAACGCUGGCGGCGUGCCUAACACAUGCAAGUCGAGGGAGAAAGCCCGCAAGGGUGAGUAAACCGGCGAACGGGUGCGUAACACGUGGAUAAUCUACCUUCCUGACCGGGACAACUGGCCGAAAGGCUUGCUAAUACCGGAUAAGACCACGGGCCCUUCGGGGCCUGAGGGAAAAGGUGGCCUCUGUAAACAAGCUAUCACAGGGAGAUGAGUCCGCGGCCCAUCAGCUAGUUGGCGGGGUAAAAGCCCACCAAGGCAACGACGGGUAGCUGGUCUGAGAGGAUGAUCAGCCACACUGGAACUGAGACACGGUCCAGACUCCUACGGGAGGCAGCAGUGGGGAAUCUUGCGCAAUGGGCGAAAGCCUGACGCAGCAACGCCGCGUGUGUGAUGAAGGUCUUCGGACCGUAAAGCACUGUCGCGAGGGACGAAUAAGGGGCGGGCUAACAUCCCGUUCCGAUGACGGUACCUCGAGAGGAAGCACCGGCUAACUCUGUGCCAGCAGCCGCGGUAAUACAGAGGGUGCAAGCGUUGUUCGGAAUUAUUGGGCGUAAAGCGCGUGUAGGCGGCUUUGUAAGUUGGGUGUGAAAGCCCUCGGCUUAACCGAGGAAGUGCGCCCAAAACUGCAUGGCUUGAGUACCGGAGAGGGUGGCGGAAUUCCCGGUGUAGAGGUGAAAUUCGUAGAUAUCGGGAGGAACACCAGCGGCGAAGGCGGCCACCUGGACGGAUACUGACGCUGAGACGCGAAAGCGUGGGGAGCAAACAGGAUUAGAUACCCUGGUAGUCCACGCCGUAAACGAUGAUUGCUUGGUGUGUCGGGUACCCAAUCCCGCCGUGCCGAAGCUAACGCGAUAAGCAAUCCGCCUGGGGAGUACGGUCGCAAGACUGAAACUCAAAGGAAUUGACGGGGGCCCGCACAAGCGGUGGAGCAUGUGGUUCAAUUCGACGCAACGCGAAGAACCUUACCUGGGCUCGAAAUGUAGUGGACCGGGGUGGAAACAUCCCUUCCCGCAAGGGCUGCUAUAUAGGUGCUGCAUGGCUGUCGUCAGCUCGCGUCGUGAGAUGUUGGGUUAAGUCCCGCAACGAGCGCAACCCUUAUUGUCAGUUGCCAUCAUUCAGUUGGGCACUCUGGCGAAACCGCCUCGGAUAACGGGGAGGAAGGUGGGGAUGACGCCAAGUCCUCAUGGCCUUUAUGUCCAGGGCUACACACGUGCUACAAUGGUCGGUACAAACCGUCGCAAACCCGCGAGGGGGAGCUAAUCGGAAAAAGCCGACCUCAGUUCGGAUUGGAGUCUGCAACUCGACUCCAUGAAGCUGGAAUCGCUAGUAAUCGCGGAUCAGAACGCCGCGGUGAAUACGUUCCCGGGCCUUGUACACACCGCCCGUCACAUCACGAAAGUGGGCUGUACUAGAAGCCGGUGGGCUAACCGCAAGGAAGCAGCCGUCCAAGGUAUAACUCAUGAUUGGGGUGAAGUCGUAACAAGGUAUCC